rnacentral:rRNA from 1 species
AUUGCCUCAGUAACGGCGAGUGAAGCGGCAACAGCUCAAAUUUGAAAUCUGGCUCUUUCAGGGUCCGAGUUGUAAUUUGUAGAAGAUGCUUCGGGUGUGGUUCCGGUCUAAGUUCCUUGGAACAGGACGUCAUAGAGGGUGAGAAUCCCGUAUGUGACCGGCUACCUUCGCUCAUGUGAAGCUCUUUCGACGAGUCGAGUUGUUUGGGAAUGCAGCUCAAAAUGGGUGGUAAAUUUCAUCUAAAGCUAAAUAUUGGCCAGAGACCGAUAGCGCACAAGUAGAGUGAUCGAAAGAUGAAAAGCACUUUGGAAAGAGAGUUAAAUAGUACGUGAAAUUGUUGAAAGGGAAGCGCUUGCAAUCAGACUUGCACGCAGUUGAUCAUCCGGUGUUCUCACCGGUGCACUCUGCUGCGUUCAGGCCAGCAUCGGUUCUGGUGGUUGGAUAAAGGCCUUGGGAAUGUAGCUCCUUUCGGGGAGUGUUAUAGCCCUCGGUGCAAUGCAGCCUACCGGGACCGAGGACCGCGCUUCGGCUAGGAUGCUGGCGUAAUGGUUGUAAGCGACCCGUCUUGAAACACGGACCAAGGAGUCUAACAUCUAUGCGAGUGUUUGGGUGUCAAACCCAUACGCGUAAUGAAAGUGAACGGAGGUGAGAACCCUUAAGGGUGCAUCAUCGACCGAUCCUGAUGUCUUCGGAUGGAUUUGAGUAAGAGCAUAGCUGUUGGGACCCGAAAGAUGGUGAACUAUGCGUGAAUAGGGUGAAGCCAGAGGAAACUCUGGUGGAGGCUCGCAGCGGUUCUGACGUGCAAAUCGAUCGUCAAAUUUGCGCAUAGGGGCGAAAAGACUAAUC